AGAGUUUGAUCCUGGCUCAGAACGAACGCUGGCGGCGUGCUUAAUACAUGCAAGUCGUACGAGAAAGUUCUGCUUCGGCAGGGCGAGUAAAGUGGCGAACGGGUGCGUAACACGUGGGUAACCUGCCUCGAAGUUGGGGAUAAGCCCUCGAAAGGGGGUCUAAUACCGGAUAAUAUCCUCAGAGGACAUCCUCUGGGGAUCAAAGGUUGCCAAAAUUCUUUAGCUAUUGCUUUGAGAGGGGCCCGCGGUCCAUUAGCUUGUUGGCGAGAUAAAAGCUCACCAAGGCUACGAUGGAUAGCCGACCUGAGAGGGUGUACGGCCACACUGGGACUGAGAUACGGCCCAGACUCCUACGGGAGGCAGCAGUAGGGAAUAUUGCGCAAUGGGCAAAUGCCUGACGCAGCAACGCCGCGUGGGUGAUGAAGUUCUUCGGAAUGUAAAACCCUGUCAGAGGGGAAGAAACUUCCCAAGGCGAAUAGCUUUGGGAACUGACGGUACCCUCAGAGGAAGCUCCGGCCAACUCCGUGCCAGCAGCCGCGGUAAUACGGGGGGAGCGAGCGUUGUUCGGAAUCACUGGGCGUAAAGGGUGUGUAGGCGGGCAAGCAAGUCGGGCGUGAAAACUCCAGGCUUAACCUGGAGCCUGCGUCCGAAACUGCCUGUCUUGAGUACGGGAGAGGAAAGUGGAAUUCCUGGUGUAGCGGUGAAAUGCGUAGAUAUCACGAGGAACACCGGUGGCGAAGGCGGCUUUCUAGCCCGAUACUGACGCUGAGACACGAAAGGCUAGGGGAGCAAACAGGAUUAGAUACCCUGGUAGUCCUAGCGGUAAACGUUGGGCACUAAGUGUUGUCCCUUAACCGGGGCAGUGCCGCAGUUAACGCAUUAGUGCCCGCCUGGGGAGUACGACCGCAAGGUUGAACUCAAGGAAUUGACGGGACCUGCACAGCGGUGAGUAUGUGGUUUAAUCGACGCAACGGAAAACCUACCUGGGCUUGACAUGC
rnacentral:rRNA from 1 species